rnacentral:rRNA from 1 species
UACGUAGGUGGCAAGCGUUGUCCGGAAUUACUGGGUGUAAAGGGCGUGUAGGCGGGAUAGCAAGUCAGAUGUGAAAUUCCGGGGCUUAACCCCGGCACUGCAUCUGAAACUGUUAUUCUUGAGUGUCGGAGAGGAAAGUGGAAUUCCCAGUGUAGCGGUGAAAUGCGUAGAGAUUGGGAGGAACACCAGUGGCGAAGGCGGCCCUCUGGACCAUUACUGACGCUCAAGUGCGAAAGCGUGGGGAGCAAACAGG